GACGAACGCUGGCGGCGUGCUUAACACAUGCAAGUCGAGCGGUAAGGCCCUUUCGGGGGUACACGAGCGGCGAACGGGUGAGUAACACGUGGGUGACCUGCCCUCAGCUCUGGGAUAAGCCUGGGAAACCGGGUCUAAUACCGGAUAUGACUCCAUGACGCAUGUUGUGGGGUGAAAGCCUUGUGCGGCUGAGGAUGGGCCCGCGGCCUAUCAGCUUGUUGGUGGGGUGANGGCCUACCAAGGCGACGACGGGUAGCCGGCCUGAGAGGGCGACCGGCCACACUGGGACUGAGACACGGCCCAGACUCCUACGGGAGGCAGCAGUGGGGGAAUCUUGCGCAAUGGGCGAAAGCCUGACGCAGCGACGCCGCGUGAGGGAUGACGGCCUGGUUCGUAAC
rnacentral:rRNA from 1 species